rnacentral:rRNA from 1 species
UACGUAGGGUGCAAGCGUUAAUCGGAAUUACUGGGCGUAAAGCGUGCGUAGACGGUUAUUUAAGUCGGGUGUGAAAGCCCCGGGCUCAACCUGGGAAUUGCAUUCGAGACUGAAUAGCUAGGGUACGGUAGAGGGAAGUGGAAUUUCCGGUGUAGCGGUGAAAUGCGUAGAUAUCGGGAAGAACACCCGUGGCGAAGGCGGUUCUCUGGGACGGUACUGACGGCUGAGACGCGAAAGCGUGGGGAGCGAACAGG